GAGGAAUAUUGGUCAAUGGACGCAAGUCUGAACCAGCCAAGUAGCGUGCAGGAUGACGGCCCUAUGGGUUGUAAACUGCUUUUAUGUGGGAAUAAAGUGGCGCACGUGUGCGCCAUUGCAUGUACCUCAUGAAUAAGGACCGGCUAAUUCCGUGCCAGCAGCCGCGGUAAUACGGAAGGUCCGGGCGUUAUCCGGAUUUAUUGGGUUUAAAGGGAGUGUAGGCGGUCUGUUAAGCGUGUUGUGAAAUUUAGGUGCUCAACAUUUAACUUGCAGCGCGAACUGUCAGACUUGAGUACACGCAGCGCAGGCGGAAUUCAUGGUGUAGCGGUGAAAUGCUUAGAUAUCAUGAGGAACUCCGAUCGCGAAGGCAGCCUGCGGGAGUGUUACUGACGCUUAAGCUCGAAGGUGCGGGUAUCGAACAGGAUUAGAUACCCUGGUAGUCCGCACUGUAAACGAUGGAUGCCCGCCGUUGGCGCCCCUGCGCCUGCGGCCAAGCGAAAGCAUUAAGCAUCCCACCUGGGGAGUACGCCGGCAACGGUG
rnacentral:rRNA from 1 species